ACAAGCGGUGGAGUAUAGUGGUUUAAUUCGACGCAACGCGCAGAACCUUACCUAGACUUGACAUCCCGGGAUUUCUGGAAACAGAGAAGUGCUUAGCAAUAAGAACCCGGUGACAGGUGGUGCAUGGUUGUCGUCAGCUCGUGUCGUGAGAUGUUGGGGUUAAGUCCCGCAACGAGCGCAACCCCUACGUUUAGUUGCUAACGCGUGAAGGCGAGCACUCUAGACGAACUGCCGUUGACAAAACGGAGGAAGGUGGGAUGACGUCAAAUCAUCAUGCCCCUUAUGUUCUGGGCUACACACGUGCUACAAUGGCCGGUACAGACGGACGCAAAGCCGCGAGGUGGAGCAAAUCCUAAAAAGCCGGUCUCAGUUCGGAUUGCAGGCUGCAAUUCGCCUGCAUGAAGUCGGAAUCGCUAGUAAUCGCAGGUCAGCAUACUGCGGUGAAUACGUUCCCGGGCCUU
rnacentral:rRNA from 1 species